GGGGUUGUGGCUCAGUGGUAGAGCGCUCGCCUCACAUGCGAGAGACCCUGGGUUCUAUUCUCAGCACCA
rnacentral:tRNA from 1 species